rnacentral:rRNA from 1 species
ACAGAGGUCCCAAGCGUUGUUCGGAUUCACUGGGCGUAAAGGGUGCGUAGGUGGCGAAGUAAGUCGGAUGUGAAAUCUCCGAGCUCAACUCGGAAACUGCAUUGGAAACUACUUUGCUUGAGGGUUGGAGGGGGGACUGGAAUACUUGGUGUAGCAGUGAAAUGCGUAGAUAUCAAGUGGAACAACAGUAGCGAAGGCGAGACCCUGGACAACACCUGACGCUGGUGCACGUAACCUACUGAAGCAAACAG